rnacentral:misc_RNA from 1 species
GAUGAAGAACGUAGCGAAACGCGAUACGUAAUGUGAAUUGCAGAAUUCAGUGAAUCAUCGAAUCUUUGAACGCACCUUGCGCCCCUCGGCAUUCCGAGGGGCAUGCCUGUUUGAGUGUCACGGAUCCUUCGAACCCCGCCGGUCUCCGACGAGCCGGCCGCCUGGGUUCGGUCCUGGGCGCUACGCCACCCCUCCGGGGCGGGCCCGCCUCAAAAGCAUCAGCUGGGCCUCGCGGCGUGGGCGGGCUCCGAUCGGCGUGAUAAGUCAUCUGCCGAGAGGGUGCCCGUCCGUCCCGUGGAUCGCGGUCCGCUCCCAACCCCUCCCCGCGCGCCGUCCCCCCCCGGGGAGCGCGCGGGGACGUUUCGACGCUCUGGCCUCAAAUCAGGUAGGACCACCCGCUGAACUUAAGCAUAUCAAUAAGCGGAGGA